rnacentral:rRNA from 1 species
UACGUAGGGGGCAAGCGUUGUCCGGAAUCAUUGGGCGUAAAGAGCUCGUAGGCGGUCUGUCACGUCGGCUGUGAAAUCCCGAGGCUCAACCUCGGAACUGCCUUUGAUACUGGGGAUCUCGAGUUCGGGAGAGGUGAGUGGAACUGCGAGUGUAGAGGUGAAAUUCGUAGAUAUUCGCAAGAACACCAGUGGCGAAGGCGGCUCACUGGCCCGAUACUGACGCUGAGGUGCGAAAGCGUGGGGAGCAAACAGG